UACGUAGGGUGCAAGCGUUGUCCGGAAUUAUUGGGCGUAAAGAGCUCGUAGGCGGUCUGUCGCGUCUGCUGUGAAAACCCAGGGCUUAACCCUGAGCUUGCAGUGGGUACGGGCAGACUAGAGUGCGGUAGGGGAGACUGGAAUUCCUGGUGUAGCGGUGAAAUGCGCAGAUAUCAGGAGGAACACCGGUGGCGAAGGCGGGUUGCUGGGCUGACACUGACGCUGAAGUGCGAAAGCUAGGGGAGCGAACGGG
rnacentral:rRNA from 1 species